UACGUAGGUGACCAGCGUUGUCCGGAUUUACUGGGCGUAAAGAGCGCGCAGGCGGUCGUUCAAGUCAAGUGUGAAAGCCCCGGGCUUAACCUGGGAACUGCGCUUGAAACUACGGAACUCGAGUGUGGCAGAGGAAGGUGGAAUUCCACGUGUAGCGGUGAAAUGCGUAGAGAUGUGGAGGAACACCGAUGGCGAAGGCAGCCUUCUGGGCCAACACUGACGCUCAUGCACGAAAGCGUGGGGAGCAAACAGG
rnacentral:rRNA from 1 species